rnacentral:rRNA from 1 species
CAGAAGAAGCACCGGCUAACUACGUGCCAGCAGCCGCGGUAAUACGUAGGGUGCGAGCGUUAUCCGGAAUUAUUGGGCGUAAAGAGCUCGUAGGCGGUUUGUCGCGUCUGUCGUGAAAGUCCGGGGCUUAACCCCGGAUCUGCGGUGGGUACGGGCAGACUAGAGUGCAGUAGGGGAGACUGGAAUUCCUGGUGUAGCGGUGGAAUGCGCAGAUAUCAGGAGGAACACCGAUGGCGAAGGCAGGUCUCUGGGCUGUAACUGACGCUGAGGAGCGAAAGCAUGGGGAGCGAACAGGAUUAGAUACCCUGGUAGUCCAUGCCGUAAACGUUGGGCACUAGGUGUGGGGACCAUUCCACGGUUUCCGCGCCGCAGCUAACGCAUUAAGUGCCCCGCCUGGGGAGUACGGCCGCAAGGCUAAAACUCAAAGGAAUUGACGGGGGCCCGCACAAGCGGCGGAGCAUGCGGAUUAAUUCGAUGCAACGCGAAGAACCUUACCAAGGCUUGACAUGUUCUCGAUCGCCGUAGAGAUACGGUUUCCCCUUUGGGGCGGGUUCACAGGUGGUGCAUGGUUGUCGUCAGCUCGUGUCGUGAGAUGUUGGGUUAAGUCCCGCAACGAGCGCAACCCUCGUUCCAUGUUGCCAGCACGUCGUGGUGGGGACUCAUGGGAGACUGCCGGGGUCAACUCGGAGGAAGGUGAGGACGACGUCAAAUCAUCAUGCCCCUUAUGUCUUGGGCUUCACGCAUGCUACAAUGGCCGGUACAAUGGGUUGCGAUACUGUGAGGUGGAGCUAAUCCCAAAAAGCCGGUCUCAGUUCGGAUUGGGGUCUGCAACUCGACCCCAUGAAGUCGGAGUCGCUAGUAAUCGCAGAUCAGCAACGCUGCGGUGAAUACGUUCCCGGGCCUUGUACACACCGCCCGUCAAGUC